AGUUGGCUGACGAGUCCCAAAUAGGACGAAAUGCACAUCCUUACU
rnacentral:hammerhead_ribozyme from 1 species